rnacentral:rRNA from 1 species
AUUGAACGCUGGCGGCAUGCCUUACACAUGCAAGUCGAACGGCAGCAUGAUCUAGCUUGCUAGAUUGAUGGCGGGUGGCGAACGGGUGAGUAAUACAUCGGAACGUGCCCUGUAGUGGGGGAUAACUAGUCGAAAGAUUAGCUAAUACCGCAUACGACCUGAGGGUGAAAGUGGGGGACCGCAAGGCCUCAUGCUAUAGGAGCGGCCGAUGUCUGAUUAGCUAGUUGGUGAGGUAAAGGCUCACCAAGGCGACGAUCAGUAGCUGGUCUGAGAGGACGAUCAGCCACACUGGGACUGAGGCACGGCCCAGACUCCUACGGGAGGCAGCAGUGGGGAAUUUUGGACAAUGGGGGCAACCCUGAUCCAGCAAUGCCGCGUGUGUGAAGAAGGCCUUCGGGUUGUAAAGCACUUUUGUCCGGAAAGAAAUCGCACUUACUAAUAUUAGGUGUGGAUGACGGUACCGGAAGAAUAAGGACCGGCUAACUACGUGCCAGCCGCCGCAGUAAGAC